CAUUCGGAUACUCACGCUGUAAUAUACCAGAUUUGGUAUAAAAAUAAUAAUAAAUAAAAAUAGUGUGAGAAACUAUUUUUAUUAGAUUUAUAGAGGUAAAACAUAAGUCAGAGGUGACUUGUGCUGAAAUCGGAAUUAAAACAGAAGAUCUAGAAUUUUCUGUUGGAGACGGGACAGAAAAAUAAGCAGAAAAUGCACAUCUCAGAAAAUUAUGAAAAUUGACGGAGAUGUCAGAAAUAUUUUUAUGAGGCUAGAUUUAAGGUUUCAUAUUUUUCUGACACCCAUAGAGUGAGAAAUAAAAUCCGAAAGCUAUCUGAUAAAGAUUGCAGUUCGGUACAGUUUUCAGUGACCAAAUGGGGUCGAAACUGAACCAGUGAUCGUCAGCUUGUUAAGUUAAGUAAAACCGAACAUGACUGUCAAGUUUGAGCUCAAACGGAGAUUCAGGGAGCUCCGGCGAAAGUUAUCAGAUUUUAAGCUGCCUGGAGGUGAAUAGUGUUGGGGUGUAAUUAAAUAGAAGCAUGAUGCUUCUUCUUCCUCCUUCAGCCGUGCACACCCACACACACCUCACGCACACAUGGAGAGAGGAGAGAAACUCUCCUUUCUCUCUCUAGAGAUCUCUCUCAUUUCUCUAUAUUUCUCGCUCAAAUUCGCGGGGUUGGUGGAGAAUAUGCUUACGCACGCGUUGGAGGCGACGGAUUGAGCUUUCGUGCGCCCGUUGGAGCGGUGUGUUGUCGUCGCGGCGUUCACAUUGAGGUAAGCUUUUAGGAUUUGGCUUAAUCCUUAGCUUUAAGUAUUCUAAUAGCCUCUAAUGAGCUUUGUUAGCAUGUUGAUCCAUUUAAUUUUGGAUUAUUUUGAGGUUAAUAACAUAUUAGGGCUCCGAAUGGGGUUUUGUAAAAUAUAAGGGUUUGAUCUAAUUUGACCCUCCGUAAACCUAAUUGCUAGGUAAACGAACGCGUUGGCGAAGACGGUUCGGCGAUCCGACGAGCUGUUACAAAGUUAUUAAAGAAAUGGACGUUUAGGCUUCGGGUCCGCCGGGAGGGCCGAGGCGAUAUCGUAAAUUCAUGAAAAUGGAUUUGAAGCAUCGUGGCACAUAACCGAAGACCUUUAAUUUUCGGAUCGUGAAUUGGAGGCCGUUCGGGUGGUCGCGUGAGAGAUCGGGCCAAACCGGGUUACGGGUGCCGCGGGAGGCCGAUUGCAAGUGUCGACAAGCAAUCGGAAUGCGAAAUGAGGUGGGUUGUGCUCACCGAAGCGAUUAGGUCGCUUUCCAUGCUAAAGUGUAGUAUGUUUACUAUUGAUGCAUGAUAAAGUAUGCUAUUUAAGAAUGCAUGAUAAAGAUUAAAGUAUGCUAUUUGAGAAUGCAUGAUAAAGUAUGCUAAUUAAGAAUGCAUGAUAAAGAUAGAUGCCAAAUGAAUGCAUGAGUUGAUGUUAAUUUAUAUGUGCAUAUUAUAGAAAUGCUAAAUAGAUGUCAAAUGAAAGUAUGAGAUUUGUACUAACCGAGAAUGCAUGUAGUAAAUGUUAACGAAUGCAUAAAAUGCUAAGUAAUGACUACCAAUGGAUGACAAAAUAUAUGCAUGUUGAACAUAGAUCGAGUGGCAUUCGAAAUGGUAAAGUGGACACUAGAGUUAGUGUGGGACAUCAAAGAAUAAAUGUGAUGUAAAGAACAAUGAUAAUGGCUAAAGAUAAUGUAAAACAAUGUGAUGAUAAUAAUGUAAUGUUGCAUGAUGUGAGUACACGUGCUUAUUAGAAUGAUUAAGAAUCUAAAUAAUCUAUGUGUAUGCAUGAGAUGUAAUGUGAGAACC
rnacentral:lncRNA from 1 species